CUACGGGGUGCAGCAGUGGGGAAUAUUGCACAAUGGGCGCAAGCCUGAUGCAGCCAUGCCGCGUGUAUGAAGAAGGCCUUCGGGUUGUAAAGUACUUUCAGCGGGGAGGAAGGGAGUAAAGUUAAUACCUUUGCUCAUUGACGUUACCCGCAGAAGAAGCACCGGCUAAGUCCGUGACAGCAGCCGCGGUAAUACGGAGGGUGCAAGCGUUCAUCGGAAUUACUGGGCGUAAAGCGCACGCAGGCGGUUUGUUAAGUCAGAUGUGAAAUCCCCGGGCUCAACCUGGGAACUGCAUCUGAUACUGGCAAGCUUGAGUCUCGGAGAGGGGGGUAGAAUUCCAGGUGUAGCGGUGAAAUGCGUAGAGAUCUGGAGGAAUACCGGUGGCGAAGGCGGCCCCCUGGACGAAGACUGACGCUCAGGUGCGAAAGCGUGGGGAGCAAACAGGAUUAGAUACCCUCGUAGUC
rnacentral:rRNA from 1 species